GACAGGUAAUUGUGUCAGAGCAUCGCUUCAAAACAGAUCACAGGUUUCUAUAUGUGAAUCUGCAGAAUGAAGUUCGACAUCCUGCUCGUGUUGGUCUGCACUCUCCCUGUCGCUCUAAGCCAUGGACGCUAUGUUGCAAUACCGAUAUCAGCGCUAAAGAAUGGAAAGUUGGACAGCCAGACAAACCAGUUCUUGUUUGAUGAUAAUCCGCUUCAGAUCUACACCCGAAGGGGCGGUGCAACACAAACAGGGAGCAGAAUAUCUAGCGGUCAAUCAGCAGCCACAAGAACAACACGUUUAACUGGAGGAGGUUCCGGAGAAUCUUUAAGAAGACAAUCUGUUGUAACGGGUAACGGGGUCACCGCAGGUGGUUCAGUUCGAAGUGUCGCCACAAAUACAUUCGGAAGAAAUGGUAAUAUUAUACCAACCACUCGCGGUGUUACCUUGGUGCCAAUUGGAUCCGGAAGGAUGCUCACCACUAAUGUAAGGUAUGUCAAUAACAUAACACCAAGCCACGUGACGCAAUAUGUGAAUUAUGUCUCCCAACCUCACACGAGCAUUGGUACGGGAUAUCGGCCACUCGUUACCGGAAACGGAUAUUACAGAUACAUUCUCGAUUGGCCUUUAUUAAAUGCACCAUCCUAUCGAUCUAUCUAAUACUGGAACUCGACGACAACCAUUGACUCAUGUUAAAUACAUGGUAUGAUAUCCUCAAUCAAUAUCGAAUAACAUAUAGCUGUGACAGGCAGUUAAAUGAUAUACAUACACUGAUACAGAAUGCUUCAGCUAGUACAUCGUUUGUGCGUUUGUCUCUUGUGUCUGAAUUGUGUAUUCCUUCAAGAAUGUAUGGCAAACAGACGCCUAAGAAGCUAUGACUACGACAUCGACAUGAUUCAAACGGAAGUGAUAUCCCAGAUCACUAUCAUAUUAUCGACAUUACAGAAGCAUAUUUUCGACAAAUACAACCGCUGUGCUGUUAUUAUUAUUUUUGACGAAUUGUUGCAUAUCAGUCCAACAAAUUUGAGGUCCUAAAAGUAUUAGUGUGUUUGGCAUUGCACCGACAGAUUAUGAAAUCAUGACCAUGUAUAUCUGAAAAAUACUACAAAUAAAGAUAUUCGCAUCCCA